rnacentral:rRNA from 1 species
ACUCCUACGGGAGGCAGCAGGCGCGAAAACUUUACAAUGCUGGCAACAGCGAUAAGGGAACCUCGAGUGUCAGGUUACAAAUCUGGCUGUCGAGAUGCCUAAAAAGCAUUUCAUAGCAAGGGCCGGGCAAGACCGGUGCCAGCCGCCGCGGUAACACCGGCGGCUCGAGUGGUAACCGUUAUUAUUGGGUCUAAAGGGUCUGUAGCCGGCCGGAUAAGUCUCUUGAGAAAUCUGGCAGCUUAACUGUCAGGCUUUCAGGAGAUACUGUCUGGCUCGAGGCCGGGAGAGGUGAGAGGUACUUCAGGGGUAGGGGUGAAAUCUUGUAAUCCUUGAAGGACCACCAGUGGCGAAGGCGUCUCACCAGAACGGACCUGACGGCAAGGGACGAAAGCUAGGGGCACGAACCGGAUUAGAUACCCGGGUAGUCCUAGCCGUAAACGAUACUCGCUAGGUGUCGGCCACGGUGCGACCGUUGUCGGUGCCGUAGGGAAGCCGUGAAGCGAGCCACCUGGGAAGUACGGCCGCAAGGCUGAAACUUAAAGGAAUUGACGG